GCCUGUGCUGUCUACCCGCACACCCCGUGCCAUCUCUGGGAUAAACUCCUGAGCUGCCAUGGGUGAGGCUGCCCUUGGAAAAGCCUAGCCCCCUGCAGGGGGUUGCAGCCACACCGGAAAUAAGUAGGAGGCUACUUACUUCCAAAGCCUCCCUAGCUGCUCUGCAAACCUGUUGGCUGGGACAUCCAGGCUACUUAGGAGACCAGAGCAAAUGCCAGCACGAGAACGUGAGCUGCAGACUUCUGUGGAUUCCCUGAGGAAAGAGAUGGCCUUGAUGUGGGAGGAGGUAGCACGAGAGCACCGGCAGCAAGGUGCCAUUUGGAGACGAGACAGCAGCGCUGCCAGGUGUUCUGUAGGAGGAAGAGGCCAUCAAGGAAAAAGACGAACUCCUGAGGGAAGCACAGGCGGAGGUGGCAUGAGAAUGUCAGCUGUGAAGCAUUGAGGUUAAGGUCCUGCUGCCCAUCCUCCAGCUGUCCACCCACCAGCCAAGUCCUGCUCCCUCCAGAGUCACAAUUGACAGUCUAAUGUGUCUCUUUUCAAUCUUUUACCAAUGCUUCAAUGA